rnacentral:rRNA from 1 species
GAUGAACGCUGGCGGCGUGCCUAAUACAUGCAAGUCGAGCGAACAGACUAGGAACUUGCUCCUCUGACGUUAGCAGCGGACGGGUGAGUAACACGUGGAUAACCUGCCUAUAAGACUGGGAUAACUUCGGGAAACCGGAGCUAAUACCGGAUAAUAUAUUUAACCGCAUGGUUCAAUAGUGAAAGACGGUUUUGCUUUCACUUAUAGAUAGAUCCUCGCCGCAUUAGUUAUUGGGUAAGGUAACGGCUUACCAAGGCAACGAUGCGUAGCCGACCUGAAAGGUGGACCGGCCACACUGGAACUGAGACACGGCCCAGACUCCUACGGGAGGCAGAAGUAGGGAAUUUUCCGCAAUGGGCGAAAGCUUGACGGAGCAACGCCGCGUGAGUGAUGAAGGUCUUCGGAUCUUAAAACUCUGUUAUUAGGGAAGAAAAAAGGUGUAAGUAACUAUGCACGUAUUGACGGUACCUAAUCAGAAAGCCACGGCUAACUACGUG